rnacentral:snoRNA from 1 species
AAACCAUGCAUUGGGCAUUUCCUAAGUAAUUCCUUGAAUCACUCCCAAGUUUCAUACAACGUCUUAUCCUUCGAUUGUCAAAAAGAUGUGAUAUCAUUCCUUAACUU